AUGUUGAGGGCACCUUAUUGAAAGGUCCUUAUAUCUCUCCCAUGCAUCGUAAAGUAUUUCUAAAUCCAUCUGCACAAAAGAAGAGAUACCAUUACGUAAUUU
rnacentral:snoRNA from 1 species